AGUCAAUCUUUACCAAUUCAAUUCCCCGCAUGAAGACAAGCCUUCUGACAGACCUGCAUAUAAAUCCUGGCUUAAUUCAGGUAUGGAUUCAGAGUCAAUGUGCAAAAUGGGGGGUUUUUGUGGCGGUGGGAUGGAGAGCUGCCCUAUGAAGUAGGUCCUAUCUUUCUCCCGCAUUUUGAAGAGGAGGAAACUAAGACAUAAAAAGUUAA